rnacentral:pre_miRNA from 1 species
AGUAACACCAGGCUUGUGUGCCAUUUCCUUGUCUGUAGCCAUGUCUAUGGGCCCUUGAGUUAGCCACCUGGGUGAGGGCCUGUU